rnacentral:rRNA from 1 species
UACGUAGGGCGCAAGCGUUGUCCGGAUUUAUUGGGCGUAAAGAGCGUGUAGGCGGCCGUACAGGUCAGCUGUGAAAACUCGAGGCUCAACCUCGAGACGUCGGUUGAAACCGUACGGCUAGAGUCCGGAAGAGGAGAGUGGAAUUCCCGGUGUAGCGGUGAAAUGCGCAGAUAUCGGGAAGAACACCCGUGGCGAAGGCGGCUCUCUGGGACGGUACUGACGCUGAGACGCGAAAGCGUGGGGAGCGAACAGG